GAUGAACGCUGGCGGCGUGCCUAAUACAUGCAAGUCGAGCGAAUGGAUUAAGAGCUUGCUCUUAUGAAGUUAGCGGCGGACGGGUGAGUAACACGUGGGUAACCUGCCCAUAAGACUGGGAUAACUCCGGGAAACCGGGGCUAAUACCGGAUAACAUUUUGAACCGCAUGGUUCGAAAUUGAAAGGCGGCUUCGGCUGUCACUUAUGGAUGGACCCGCGUCGCAUUAGCUAGUUGGUGAGGUAACGGCUCACCAAGGCAACGAUGCGUAGCCGACCUGAGAGGGGGAUCGGCCACACUGGGACUGAGACACGGCCCAGACUCCUACGGGAGGCAGCAGUAGGGAAUAUUCCGCAAUGGACGAAAGUCGGACGGAGCAACGCCGCGUGAGUGAUGAAGGCUUUCGGGUCGUAAAACUCUGUUGUUAGGGAAGAACAAGUGCUAGUUGAAUAAGCUGGCACCUUGACGGUACCUAACCAGAAAGCCACGGCUAACUACGUGCCAGCCGCCGCCGUAA
rnacentral:rRNA from 1 species